GCAUGUCACUGUGACAAAACAGUACGGAUAAGUGUUGCUAUAAUACACCUUGUUUCGUUUUAUUCUAAUGUUAAUAUAUGUUUCGUUAUUACCCAAUUUUAAUGUAUAAGAGAAACUGGCAAUGUCAAUAAUGUUCUCUCUCACUAUUCAUAAUUUCGUGAGAGAUAUACAACCAUUAAAACAAAGAAUGAAAAGUUCAUGAAUAAUGUGCAAUCGAUCCCCGUAUCCUUUGAUGCAUUCUCCAUUUUCUCGGAACAUUUUACAAGCUUGUAUUCUCCAAUAGAAUUACCAUCUUUAAUGACCGCUUGUCCUGGAGCUCCUGGCAAAAAGUUUACAACAUCGUUGUUGAAGGAUUGGUCAUGGCUAUCCCAGUCGUGGUUCAUAUUGCUUGUCUUGUGAUAUUGAGGACCCCAAUCUCCCAGUGGCUUAAUUGUGUAGGCAUAUUUUUCCAGACCCCAGUAGUAUAGACCAUCCUUGCAGUUGGNNNNNNNNNNNNNNNNNNNNCUGUAUUUCAUCAAUUUUUAAAAGGUUUUAAAACAAUAACAUAAAAAGAGAAAGUUUGUAUCAUCAAUUAACUGCAAUUCCAGCAUGUAAUUUCUACCAGUUUAUGAAUGCUUAAGCUGGAGAUAUAAAAAAGUCAUCCUCAUAUGGCGCUACAUUUUGCACCGAAGAUACUUUAGAGCUGUUGAGUUUUUUUUUCCUGCGGGCUUGGUGCAGAAGAGGUGGACCUUAGCCGCACGUUUUGCCACUGGAAAUCAGUCAGGAAACAUUUGAAUUUAGCUAAUUAAUAUAUCUAAGUAAGACGGCGAAAAAAGAUGAGACGAAGAGAUAAACAAGAUGAAACGUCCCAGCGGGAAAAAUGACGUUUAUGCAACGUUAUUUGAAUCAACGUUGGAAAUGACCUUCCAGACGUUGGAUAGACGUUGAAAAAGGGUUGACUAUGCAAAUUGGAUCGACGUUACUGUUUCGACGUUGAAACAACAUUGAAAUUAGGUUGCCAAUCUCGUCAACCAUAAUUCAACGUUGAAUCCACGUUAAAACAACGUUGAGAUUGGUUCACAAAUCGACGUCGUACAUUUAACCAUGAAUGAACGUUAAUUCAACGUCUGUUGGCUGCUGUUGAAACAAUGUUUGUAAAACAACGUCAGAGCAACGUAGAUAUUAGGUUGUCGACGUCGCAACCUUUUUUCUACCAAAUUUCAACGUUGAAACAACGUCGUGUGCCCGGUGGGGUAUAGGUUAGGAAAUAGCAUAAAAUUAAAAUGACAAGACGAUUACAAAGAAAAGCAAUGACAAAC
rnacentral:lncRNA from 1 species